rnacentral:tRNA from 1 species
UCCUCGUUAGUAUAGUGGUCAGUAUCCCCGCCUGUCACGCGGGAGACCGGGGUUCAAUUCCCGACGGGGAGA